AGCCCCCAGCGAGAUUCGAAUUCGCGACCCCUGGUUUACGAGACCACUCCUCUACCCUCUGAGCUAUGGUGGC
rnacentral:tRNA from 1 species